AUGUUACUCUUCCUCUCUGUUUUCAUAGCUCUUACUGAUGUUGCAGAGGCUGUAGAUGAGCUCAUUAAACCAGACCAAACCAUCAUACCUUCACGUGAAGGCAGCAGCACCACACUGACCUGCACAUAUGAUGACUCGGCUUACUAUCUCCACUGGUAUCGACAAAACCCUCAAUCAGGACCAGAGUUUCUGCUGAUGAUUCAUAAAUCCACAGAACGUGUCACUAAAGCUGAACACCUUGACCCAAGACUAUCCACCAGACUCCGUAUAAAGGAAAAGAAAGUAGAUCUGGAGAUCUUUCCUGCUGCAGUAUCAGACUCUGCACUGUACUACUGCGCCAUGGAGCCCACAGUAACACAAAACUCAAACACACUGUACAAAAAGUGA